rnacentral:rRNA from 1 species
AUUGAACGCUGGCGGCAGGCCUAACACAUGCAAGUCGAGCGGAUGAGAGGAGCUUGCUUCUCGAUUCAGCGGCGGACGGGUGAGUAAUGCCUAGGAAUCUGCCUGGUAGUGGGGGACAACGUUUCGAAAGGAACGCUAAUACCGCAUACGUCCUACGGGAGAAAGCAGGGGACCUUCGGGCCUUGCGCUAUCAGAUGAGCCUAGGUCGGAUUAGCUAGUUGGUGAGGUAAUGGCUCACCAAGGCGACGAUCCGUAACUGGUCUGAGAGGAUGAUCAUUAACACUGGAGAUGAGACACGGUCCAGACUCCUACGGGAGGCAGCAGUGGGGAAUAUUGGACAAUGGGCGAAAGCAUGAUCCAGCCAUGCCGCGUGUGUGAAGAAGGUCGUCGGAUUGUAAAGCACUUUAAGUUGGGAGGAAGGGUUGUAGAUUAAUACUCUGCAAUUUUGACGUUACCGACAGAAUAAGCACCGGCUAACUCUGUGCCAGCCGCCGCCGUAAGAC